rnacentral:rRNA from 1 species
CAUGCCAAGUCGAGCGGAACGAUGGUAGCUUGCUACCAGGCGUCGAGCGGCGGACGGGUGAGUAAUACUUAGGAAUCUACCUAGUAGUGGGGGAUAGCUCGGGGAAACUCGAAUUAAUACCGCAUACGACCUACGGGAGAAAGGGGGCAACUUGUUGCUCUCGCUAUUAGAUGAGCCUAAGUCGGAUUAGCUAGAUGGUGGGGUAAAGGCCUACCAUGGCGACGAUCUGUAGCUGGUCUGAGAGGAUGAUCAGCCACACCGGGACUGAGACACGGCCCGGACUCCUACGGGAGGCAGCAGUGGGGAAUAUUGGACAAUGGGGGCAACCCUGAUCCAGCCAUGCCGCGUGUGUGAAGAAGGCCUUUUGGUUGUAAAGCACUUUAAGCAGUGAAGAAGACUCUAUGGUUAAUACCCAUAGACGAUGACAUUAGCUGCAGAAUAAGCACCGGCUAACUCUGUGCCAGCAGCCGCGGUAAUACAGAGGGUGCAAGCGUUAAUCGGAAUUACUGGGCGUAAAGCGAGCGUAGGUGGCUUGAUAAGUCAGAUGUGAAAUCCCCGGGCUUAACCUGGGAACUGCAUCUGAUACUGUUAGGCUAGAAUAGGUGAGAGGAAGGUAGAAUUCCCCGUGGAGCGGUGAAAUGCGUAGAGAUCUGCAGGAAUGCCGAGGGCGAAGG